AUUGAACGCUGGCGGCAGGCUUAACACAUGCAAGUCGAGCGGGGGAAGGUAGCUUGCUACCGGACCUAGCGGCGGACGGGUGAGUAAUGCUUAGGAAUCUGCCUAUUAGUGGGGGACAACAUCUCGAAAGGGAUGCUAAUACCGCAUACGUCCUACGGGAGAAAGCAGGGGAUCUUCGGACCUUGCGCUAAUAGAUGAGCCUAAGUCAGAUUAGCUAGUUGGUGGGGUAAAGGCCUACCAAGGCGACGAUCUGUAGCGGGUCUGAGAGGAUGAUCCGCCACACUGGGACUGAGACACGGCCCAGACUCCUACGGGAGGCAGCAGUGGGGAAUAUUGGACAAUGGGGGGAACCCUGAUCCAGCCAUGCCGCGUGUGUGAAGAAGGCCUUAUGGUUGUAAAGCACUUUAAGCGAGGAGGAGGCUACUUUAGUUAAUACCUAGAGAUAGUGGAUGUUACUCGCAGAAUAAGCACCGGCUAACUCUGUGCCAGCCGCCGCAGUAA
rnacentral:rRNA from 1 species